UGGGGAAUAUUGCACAAUGGGCGCAAGCCUGAUGCAGCGACGCCGCGUGAGGGAUGACGGCCUUCGGGUUGUAAACCUCUUUCGCCAGGGACGAAGCGCAAGUGACGGUAACCUGGAGAAGAAGGACCGGCCAACUAGCGUG
rnacentral:rRNA from 1 species